UUGUGCCGGGUGAGUCUUAUACGACCAGCUCCUACAGAAUCCCCCAGGCGAGGAAUCGAGCAAGGGUAUGUGGUUGUAGCGGUGCGAUAUAAUCAGCUCACCCAACC
rfam:Alistipes finegoldii CAG:68 genomic scaffold, scf217